AGAGUUUGAUCCUGGCUCAGGACGAACGCUGGCGGCGUGCCUAAUACAUGCAAGUCGAGCGGAUCUUCAUUAGCUUGCUUUUGAAGAUCAGCGGCGGACGGGUGAGUAACACGUGGGCAACCUGCCUGUAAGACUGGGAUAACUUCGGGAAACCGGAGCUAAUACCGGAUAAUCCUUUCCCUCACAUGAGGGAAAGCUGAAAGACGGUUUCGGCUGUCACUUACAGAUGGGCCCGCGGCGCAUUAGCUAGUUGGUGAGGUAACGGCUCACCAAGGCAACGAUGCGUAGCCGACCUGAGAGGGUGAUCGGCCACACUGGGACUGAGACACGGCCCAGACUCCUACGGGAGGCAGCAGUAGGGAAUCUUCCGCAAUGGACGAAAGUCUGACGGAGCAACGCCGCGUGAGCGAUGAAGGCCUUCGGGUCGUAAAGCUCUGUUGUCAGGGAAGAACAAGUACCGGAGUAACUGCCGGUACCUUGACGGUACCUGGCCAGAAAGCCACGGCUAACUACGUGCCAGCAGCCGCGGUAAUACGUAGGUGGCAAGCGUUGUCCGGAAUUAUUGGGCGUAAAGCGCGCGCAGGCGGUUCCUUAAGUCUGAUGUGAAAGCCCCCGGCUCAACCGGGGAGGGUCAUUGGAAACUGGGGAACUUGAGUGCAGAAGAGGAGAGCGGAAUUCCACGUGUAGCGGUGAAAUGCGUAGAGAUGUGGAGGAACACCAGUGGCGAAGGCGGCUCUCUGGUCUGUAACUGACGCUGAGGCGCGAAAGCGUGGGGAGCGAACAGGAUUAGAUACCCUGGUAGUCCACGCCGUAAACGAUGAGUGCUAAGUGUUAGAGGGUUUCCGCCCUUUA
rnacentral:rRNA from 1 species